CCUACGGGAGGCAGCAGUGGGGAAUAUUGCACAAUGGGGGGAACCCUGAUGCAGCGACGCCGCGUGGGUGAGGAAGUACUUCGGUAUGUAAAGCCCUAUCAGCAGGGAAGAAAAUGACGGUACCUGACUAAGCAGCCCCGGCUAACUACGUGCCAGCAGCCGCGGGAAUACGUAGGGGGCAAGCGUUCUCCGGAUUUACUGGGUGAAACGGGAGCGUGGACGGCGUGCCAAGUCUGAUGUGAAAGGCCGGGGCUCAACCCCGGGACUGCAUUGGAAACUGGCAUGCUGGAGUGCUGGAGGGGCAAGCGGAAUUCCUAGUGUAGCGGUGAAAUGCGUAGAUAUUAGGAGGAACACCGGUGGCGAAGGCGGCUUGCUGGACGGUAACUGACGUUGAGGCGCGAAAGCGUGGGGAGCAAACAGGAUUAGAUACCCCAGUAGUC
rnacentral:rRNA from 1 species